CCUUACACAUGCAAGUCGAACGGCAGCACGGGUGCUUGCACCUGGUGGCGAGUGGCGAACGGGUGAGUAAUACAUCGGAACAUGUCCUGUAGUGGGGGAUAGCCCGGCGAAAGCCGGAUUAAUACCGCAUACGAUCUAUGGAUGAAAGCGGGGGACCUUCGGGCCUCGCGCUAUAGGGUUGGCCGAUGGCUGAUUAGCUAGUUGGUGGGGUAAAGGCCUACCAAGGCGACGAUCAGUAGCUGGUCUGAGAGGACGACCAGCCACACUGGGACUGAGACACGGCCCAGACUCCUACGGGAGGCAGCAGUGGGGAAUUUUGGACAAUGGGCGAAAGCCUGAUCCAGCAAUGCCGCGUGUGUGAAGAAGGCCUUCGGGCUGUAAAGCACUUUUGUCCGGAAAGAAAUCCUUGGUUCUAAUAUAGCCGGGGGAUGACGGUACCGGAAGAAUAAGCACCGGCUAACUACGUGCCAGCAGCCGCGGUAAUACGUAGGGUGCGAGCGUUAAUCGGAAUUACUGGGCGUAAAGCGUGCGCAGGCGGUUUGCUAAGACCGAUGUGAAAUCCCCGGGCUCAACCUGGGAACUGCAUUGGUGACUGGCAGGCUAGAGUAUGGCAGAGGGGGGUAGAAUUCCACGUGUAGCAGUGAAAUGCGUAGAGAUGUGGAGGAAUACCGAUGGCGAAGGCAGCCCCCUGGGCCAAUACUGACGCUCAUGCACGAAAGCGUGGGGAGCAAACAGG
rnacentral:rRNA from 1 species